rnacentral:lncRNA from 1 species
CUAGCUUACUAAAUACGACCCUCUGAGGUCGAAUCCGAACCCAAAAUUCCCUAACCCAAGCUCAAACCUUCUAGAUCGGAGCAAGAACCAAACGAUCUAGAACUUCUCCGACCUCUAAACCCUUAACACAAAAUCAAGGCUUUUGCAUGUCGCAAUUUAAGGGAAAUAAUGGGGAUUCGUUCUACUUACCACGGCGAAGGAGGUGGAAAGACGAUUUCAGGCGA